rfam:Gossypium raimondii Chr06_contig_902, whole genome shotgun sequence.
UGUUAAAGAUUUUAUCUAUUUGUACUAUUAAAAACUAACGCGACUGACAAAAUAACAAAUGAGUUACACAUGUCAUGCUAAGUGUACCUCAUGCUAACCAAUUUUUUUUAACGGUACAAAUAGAUGAAAUUUUUAACA